rnacentral:rRNA from 1 species
UACGUAGGGUGCAAGCGUUGUCCGGAGUUACUGGGCGUAAAGGGCAUGCAGGCGGUCGGACGCGUUUCGGGUGACAGCGGGUGGCUUAACUACCCGAGUGGUCGAAAGACGGUUUGACUUGAGGACGCGAGAGGGACACGGAAUUCCGGGUGGAGUGGUGAAAUGCGUAGAGAUCCGGAGGAACACCGAAGGCGAAGGCAGUGUCCUGGCGCGUAACUGACGCUGAGGUGCGAAAGCCAGGGGAGCGAACGGG